rnacentral:rRNA from 1 species
AGAGUUUGAUCAUGGCUCAGAACGAACGCUGGCGGCGUGGAUAAGACAUGCAAGUCGUACGGGAUAAUCUGGUUAGCAAUAAUUAGGUUAUCUAGUGGCGAACGGGUGCGUAACACGUGGGAAUCUGCCCUGAAGUGGGGGAUAGCUUGCCGAAAGGCAAAUUAAUACCGCAUACGAUCGAAAGAUCAAAGUGGGGGACCGCAAGGCCUCACGCUUUAGGAGGAGCCCGCGGCCUAUCAGCUAGUUGGUGAGGUAACGGCUCACCAAGGCUUUGACGGGUAGCUGGUCUGAGAGGACGACCAGCCACACUGGAACUGAGACACGGUCCAGACUCCUACGGGAGGCAGCAGUGGGGAAUUUUGCGCAAUGGACGAAAGUCUGACGCAGCGACGCCGCGUGUGCGAUGAAGGCCUUUGGGUCGUAAAGCACUGUCGACCGGGACGAAAACUCACGGACUAAUACUUCGUGAGUCUGACGGUACUGGUAAAGGAAGCACCGGCUAACUCUGUGCCAGCAGCCGCGGUAAUACAGAGGGUGCAAACGUUGCUCGGAAUUAUUGGGCGUAAAGCGCGUGUAGGCGGCUUGUUAAGUUGGUUGUGAAAACCCAUGGCUCAACCAUGGAAGGGCGUCCAAAACUGGCAAGCUAGAGUCCCGACGAGGAUGGCGGAAUUCCCAGUGUAGAGGUGAAAUUCGUAGAUAUUGGGAGGAACACCGGUGGCGAAGGCGGCCAUCUGGGAGGGCACUGACGCUGAGACGCGAAAGCGUGGGGAGCAAACAGGAUUAGAUACCCUAGUAGUCC